rnacentral:tRNA from 1 species
GCCGGUGUAACUCAGUUGGCAGAGUAGCUCACUCGUAAUGAGCAAGUCGGCGGUUCGAGUCCGCCCACCGGCUCCA